AACUUCCAAGAUUGAGCAAUAGCAUUUUCUCCUCCCAGAUGAAAACCUGUCCAAAACACAGGCCCAGAUUGCUUCCCUGCUCUCUCCUACACUUGGAGUGCUCGGCGCCUGGCCACAGCUGCAUGGCUCACAACAGAUUUUAUAAGGCUGUCCUUCUGCCAGGGUCCUUUGAGAAGUAAAAAUAGCUGAAAUGAGCCCGCUCUCCCGGAACCAUGAAAACAUUUCCCCAUCCCUCAAGCUUUCACCUACUGCCGUGUCAUCCUAUACCCCAUUCACUCCUUAGGAGACCAGAGUGUGCAGCCUGGAGGGGCCGUGCUGAGCCCCGCUCCACUUGGGGCUCAGCUCGAGCUGGGGCGUUCAGCUGGAGAUGGGCGAUGGCCAUCUCGGUCGCCUCUAAGAUGCGCCGAAUCAUGUAAGACGUGCCAUCGGUGAGAAAAGAGAUGCUUUCUAAUCUUCCCAGCACCUGCCGGGGCACCGAUACCUGCUUAUUACAUUCCGGGCACGAUUAACCCUUCUGAUGUUAGGGUCCUGGACUUGGUAAUGUGCUCUCAGGCCAGCGACAAAAAUAUCUCUGAGAUUUUUGAGCUAACGGUGCAUUUGCGAGGUCAUUCAAGGCUAAGACCAGAAGGAUUAAAAGAUCUGACUCCUUCCUGAGGUCCUUAGUUGUAAAGGACCAAAGAAGCCGUAAAACAAAGAUUUAUUCAGUUUCAGCCGGACAGCUCAAUGGCACAGCCCCGUAAGGACCAGGAAAAAAGAAACAUCUGGCCAGAAAAGCACACUUGUUUACGAAAAAAAAAAAAAAAAGGUUUAAGAGUCUUCUCCAGCUUUACCAAGUUUUUGGAUGAAAAUGAGGCUGAACACGAAAAACAAUGUAGAACCUUGCGAGCCACAGGGCAGCACAGGCGGAGAAAGAACAUCUUGUUUCUUCCUCGUCCAGCUGCCUCGGACCGUGGGCCCCCUCCUGAGCACCCCGGGGAGAAGCCCUGCCCUGAGGCCACUGGUCGUGAGCGUGAGAGAGAAAAGAGGUCAUCGCUCCUGGUCCUGCAAGGGCCUCCCCCCGGUCCGUAUGCCCACUCUGGCCAUCACAGACAUGCCUCAGGCACUGCCCUGGGUAGCCCUGCAGAGGACACGCUCAUCAACGAGGAGUCCACCCCAAGUUGCAAGUUCUGUCAUCCCGGCGACUUAGCCUCAUCACCAAAAUCUCACAAAUCAGACUUCUCCAAAAAAUAAAACCUGACAGACUACAGCCCAAGGACCAAAUCCAACCUGAUACCCAGUUUUGUAAAUAAAGUUUUAUUGACA
rnacentral:lncRNA from 1 species